rnacentral:rRNA from 1 species
UACGAAGGGGGCUAGCGUUGCUCGGAAUCACUGGGCGUAAAGCGCACGUAGGCGGAUUGCUAAGUCGGGGGUGAAAUCCUGGAGCUCAACUCCAGAACUGCCUUCGAUACUGGAGAGCUCGAGUCCGGGAGAGGUGAGUGGAACUGCGAGUGUAGAGGUGAAAUUCGUAGAUAUUCGCAAGAACACCAGUGGCGAAGGCGGCUCACUGGCCCGGUACUGACGCUGAGGUGCGAAAGCGUGGGGAGCAAACAGG